CGGGGCGUAGCGCAGCCUGGUAGCGCACCUGCCUUGGGCGCAGGCAGCCGUCUACAAAGCUUCUUUAGAUUUACCUCCACUUCCA
rnacentral:tRNA from 1 species